CGCCCGUCGCUCCUACCGAUUGGGUGUGCUGGUGAAGUGUUCGGAUCGGCGGCCGCCGGCGCGCGAGCGCCGGCUGCCGUUGAGAAGUUCAUUAAACCCUCCCACCUAGAGGAAGGAGAAGUCGUAACAAGGUCUCC
rnacentral:rRNA from 1 species